CACCGGAAGGCCUCCCGCGAAGUGAAGCUUUACCCCACGACUAGAGCGCUUCCGAGAUCUACAAGUAGUUCACCGGAAGUUCUCCCGCCGGAGAUGAUGUCUUCCGCCCCCUCCCUGCCUCCCCUCCCCAUCUCAAACCCACCUGCCGCCUCCGCCGCCCCCGUCGCCCCCUCCUCCGCCGCCCCCGUCGCCACUCCCGCCUUCCGCCUCUUCCUCUCCCGCCUCUCGGACUCCGUCGGCCGCUCCCUCUCCAACCGCCGCCCCUGGUCGGAACUCGCCGACCGAUCUGCCUUCUCCCGUCCGGAUUCCCUCUCCGACGCCUCCUACCGCCUGCGCAAGAACCUCACCUACUUCCGCGUCAACUACGCCGCUGUCGUCGCCGCCGUCCUCGCCAUCUCCCUCAUCACCAACCCCUUCUCUCUCGUCGUUCUCCUCGCCCUC
rnacentral:lncRNA from 1 species